rnacentral:rRNA from 1 species
UACAGAGGUGGCAAGCGUUGUUCGGAAUUACUGGGCGUAAAGGGCGCGUAGGCGGCUUGGUCAGUCCCGUGUGAAAUCCCUCGGCUCAACUGAGGAACUGCACGGGAAACUGCCUGGCUUGAGUUCGGGAGAGGGAAGCGGAAUUCCGGGUGUAGCGGUGAAAUGCGCAGAUAUCAGGAGGAACACCAGCGGCGAAGGCGGCGCUCUGGGCCGGAACUGACGCUGAGGAGCGAAAGCGUGGGGAGCGAACAGG